UCUUUAGUUGUCCAUCAUUGAGUUGGGCGACUCUAAAGAGACUGCCGGUGGUCAAACCGGAGGAAGUGGGGAUGACGUCAAGUCCUCAUGGCCUUUAUGACCAGGGCUACACACGUACUACAAUGGCCGGUACAAAGGGCAGCGACACAGCGAUGUGAAGCGAAUCCCGAAAAGCCGGUCUCAGUCCGGAUUGGAGUCUGCAACUCGACUCCAUGAAGUUGGAAUCGCUAGUAAUCGCGGAUCAGCACGCCGCGGUGAAUACGUUCCCGGGCCUU
rnacentral:rRNA from 1 species